rnacentral:rRNA from 1 species
UACGUAGGGACCAAGCGUUGUUCGGAUUUACUGGGCGUAAAGGGCGCGUAGGCGGCAAAUUAAGUCAGCUGUGGAAUCUCCGAGCUUAACUCGGAACUGUCAGCUGAUACUGAUGUGCUAGAGUGCGGAAGGGGCAAUCGGAAUUCUUGGUGGUAGCGGUGAAAUGCGUAGAUAUCAGGAGGAACACCGAUGGCGAAGGCAGGUCUCUGGGCCACUACUGACGCUGAGAAGCGAAAGCAUGGGGAGCGAACAGG